rnacentral:rRNA from 1 species
UACGGAGGGAGCUAGCGUUGUUCGGAAUUACUGGGCGUAAAGCGUACGUAGGCGGCUAUUCAAGUCAGGGGUGAAAGCCUGGAGCUCAACUCCAGAACUGCCCUUGAAACUAGAUAGCUAGAAUCUUGGAGAGGCGAGUGGAAUUCCGAGUGUAGAGGUGAAAUUCGUAGAUAUUCGGAAGAACACCAGUGGCGAAGGCGACUCGCUGGACAAGUAUUGACGCUGAGGUACGAAAGCGUGGGGAGCAAACAGG